rnacentral:rRNA from 1 species
AGUGAACGCUGGCGGCGUGCCUAAUACAUGCAAGUCGAACGGAGUGGCGCACGGGUGAGUAAUGUAUAGCUAAUCUCCCCUACACUAGAGGACAACGGUUGGAAACGGCUGCUACUACUCUAUAGUGUAGGAUGAGGCUAUAUUGUGUCAGUUAGUUGGUGAGGGAAUGGCUCACCAAGGCUAUGACGCAUAACUGGUGUGAGAGGAUGAUCAGUCACACUGUAACUGAGACACGGUCCAGACUCCUACGGGAGGGAGCAGUAGGGAAUAUUGCUCAAUGGGGGAAACCCUGAAGCAGCAACGCCGCGUGGAGGAUGACACUUGUCGGAGCGUAAACUCCUGUUGUGAGGGAAGCGGUACCGAACGAAGAAGCACCGGCUAACUCCGUGCCAGCAGCCGCGGUAAUAC